rnacentral:tRNA from 1 species
GCGCCAAUAGUUUAAUGGUAAAAUAAGAGCCUUCCAAGCUCUGGCUCUGGGUUCGAUUCCCAGUUGGCGCA